AACGUAGGUACCGAGCGUUAUCCGGAUUUACUGGGCGUAAAGCGUGUUCAGGCGGCCGCGCAAGUCGGGCAUGAAAUCUCUCGGCUCAACCGGGAGGGGUUGUCCGAUACUGCGUGGCUGGAGGGCAGUAGAGGGUGGUGGAAUUCCGGGUGUAGUGGUGAAAUGCGUAGAGAUCCGGAGGAACACCAGUGGCGAAAGCGGCCACCUGGACUGUACCUGACGCUCAAACACGAAAGCUAGGGGAGCGAACGGG
rnacentral:rRNA from 1 species